CAUACACUCUGCAGGGGACAGCAGAACAUCGGUAAGCAAAUGGGCAGCAAAUUCUGACCUAAGUGUGAGAGUCAGUAAGUCCUAGGAAACAUUACAUUCCGGAUUGUGUGUCAUCACAGAAGUCAUCAGAACACCUUGAGAAGGUGAAGAUACAUAGAAGAGAUGUUGAAUUCAAUCUGUCUACGCUCUCAGAUUCAAAUUGUUGCAAGGUUAAAGGAUGGGUUGGGUGAGGUGAGUGGAAGAAAACCCAGAAGAAAUUAAGAACUGGCUCAAGAAUGUGUGGCUCCUUGGGAGCAUGCUGUCAGGAAGAUUGGCACCACAAAUUGAGACAAUGCCUGACUCACACAAGCACUUCUGAGAGGAAGACCUCCCUCCACUGAUUCCUAUGAGUUAUCUGUGAAUGCCAAAUGAACUGCACAUGGAUGAGUUAGCCUGCACCAGCCUUGAAAUGUAUAGAAGGAAUUUUUUAGGGCAGCAGCAUUGUUAUUGCAAUAACUUGCUCUUGAAUGAAAUUUAAAGAUCGUCAUUAUGUCUAUAUCCUUGAAGAAAAAAGACAGGGUGGCAAUCUGUUUUGAGGCUUAGAAACUUCUGGGUCUGAUAAUAGUUUGCUUUGGAUAAUCAGUAAAUCUUUCAGUCUGAGUGUGGCAGUAAAGCAGGAAAAAAUAAAAGUUCUGUAAAUUUUAAUAGCUAAAUUAUUAGAAAAUUAUUCUUCUUUAUGCUGAAUAUAAAUUUUAGAAAUUUAUUUCAAAAAUAAAUAUAGUAUGGAAUGUAAUUUACUUGGUGAGAAGCCACCUGCACCAAUGGCUAGUUGCUCAGCAACAUGCACUGAAGCUAAUAUCAAGAGUGAGGAGAACUAAAUUUUCCCUACUUAAGAAUAACAGUAAGGUUGAUUAAGGGAUUAUUUACCCUGUCUGCAGUUCUGGCAUCCAUCUGGACAUGAUAUGCAGUCAUCAGAGUCACGAUCUUCCACUUCACCUGUGUUUUGCAAAUCAUCAGUUUAAUUCUAGAUAAUGCAACAUUUGGAAGCACUCAGCAAGGUUCCUGGAAAUAAACUUGAUUAAAAUCAAAAAAGGAGAAAGACUCAUGGAAAUUUGUUUUCUUAAUUGUUUUUGCAUAACCCACUCAAUUUGAGGAAAACACUCUUACUUUACAAUAACAUGGUACUAGAAGAGGAUCAGAGCUGGUACUUGAGGACUUCAGGGUCAGAGAUGAAGACAUAUUAAAGCCUGAAAGAAACCUUCUAUAAAGAUACAAGAACGUCCUUCGAAGUAAGGAACAGAUAAAAUUAAGUCUUUUCAUUAGUGGUAUAAAAGUCUAAAUUUUAUUCCCAUCUGUAUCUGUUCAGCCUCCUCAAUACACUUACACUGGUGAUCUUCCCCUGCUUGAAAUCUUCCCUGGUCCCUGG